rnacentral:pre_miRNA from 1 species
AAAGACUCAAUUCCUGGGUUUUCGUGUCCUACGUUUGACUGUUCGUCUUAUAUGAUUUUUUUAAUUAGUAUUUUCAUUGUUGUUAAAUGAUAAAACAUAAAUAAUACUUUAUGUGUGACUUAUUUUUUUAAUUUUUUUUUUAUAAUUUUUUCAAAUAAAACGGACAGUCAAAUGUUGGACACAGAAACUCAGGAAUUGAGUUAUU